rnacentral:rRNA from 1 species
CAAUAGCGUAUAUUUAAGUUGUUGCAGUUAAAAAGCUCGUAGUUGGAUUUCGGAUGGGACUUGCCGGUCCGUCGUUUCGAUGUGCACUGGCCAGUCCUAUCUUGUUGUCGGGGACUAGCUCCUGGGCUUCACUGUCUGGGGGUCAGAAUCGGCGAUGUUACUUUGAGUAAAUUAGAGUGUUCAAAGCAAGCUUACGCUCUGAAUAUAAUAGCAUGGGAUAACACGACAGGACUCUGGCCUAUCGUGUUGGUCUAUAGGACCAGAGUAAUGAUUAAGAGGGACAGUCGGGGGCAUUCGUAUUCCGUUGUCAGAGGUGAAAUUCUUGGAUUUACGGAGGACGAACAUCUGCGAAAGCAUUUGCCAAGGAUGUUUUCAUUGA